rnacentral:lncRNA from 1 species
CACAAUCUAUUUCUCUCACACCCUUUGCUCAACACUUGAUACACUUGAAAGACUCUCUCUUUCUCUUGGAUUCUCUGCACUCUCUAGCUUCCAGCUACUUAGCCUCACCUUUGCUGUCAUGCUUCAUCUUCCCUUUUAUGUACAAGCCUUUGGACUAGAGAAAGGGCUGCAGCUUCCCCCCUGCAAUUAAGGCUUUAGU